GAUGAAGAACGCAGCGAAAUGCGAUAAGUAAUGUGAAUUGCAGAAUUCAGUGAAUCAUCGAAUCUUUGAACGCACAUUGCGCCCGCCAGUAUUCUGGCGGGCAUGCCUGUCCGAGCGUCAUUUCAACCCUCGAACCCCUCCGGGGGGUCGGCGUUGGGGAUCGGCCCCUUCACCGGGUGCCGGCCCCUAAAUACAGUGGCGGUCUCGCCGCAGCCUCUCAUGCGCAGUAGUUUGCACACUCGCACCGGGAGCGCGGCGCGUCCACGUCCGUAAAACACCCCAACUUCUGAAAUGUUGACCUCGGAUCAGGUAGGAAUACCCGCUGAACUUAAGCAUAUCAAUAAGCGGAGGA
rnacentral:misc_RNA from 1 species